GCUCCUGUGGUGUAAUGGUAUGAGUGUUGAACUGCGAUUUUAAAAAUCAGGGUUUGAUUCCCUGCUUGAGCA